rnacentral:tRNA from 1 species
ACUUUCAAAGGACAGUAGAAGUCCACCAAUUUUAGGAAUUGCCCUCCCCUGGUGCAAAUCCAAGUGAAAGUA